UGGGGAAUUUUGGACAAUGGGGGAAACCCUGAUCCAGCCAUCCCGCGUGUGCGAUGAAGGCCUUCGGGUUGUAAAGCACUUUUGGCAGGAAAGAAACGUCAUGGGUUAAUACCCCGUGAAACUGACGGUACCUGCAGAAUAAGCACCGGCUAACUACGUGCCAGCAGCCGCGGUAAUACGUAGGGUGCAAGCGUUAAUCGGAAUUACUGGGCGUAAAGCGUGCGCAGGCGGUUCGGAAAGAAAGAUGUGAAAUCCCAGAGCUCAACUUUGGAACUGCAUUUUUAACUACCGGGCCAGGGUGUGUCAGAGGGAGGUGGCAUUCCGCGUGUAGCAGUGAAAUGCGGAGAUAUGCGGAGCAACACCGAUGGCGAAGGCAGCCUCCUGGGAUAACACUGACGCUCAUGCACGAAAGCGUGGGGAGCAAACAGG
rnacentral:rRNA from 1 species